GACGAACGCUGGCGGCGUGCUUAACACAUGCAAGUCGAACGAAGUGGCGAACGGGUGAGUAACGCGUAAUCAACCUGCCCAUCAGAGGGGGAUAACACUUGGAAACAGGUGCUAAUACCGCAUACUGAUGGAUGGACCCGCGGUGCAUUAGCUAGUUGGUGAGGUAACGGCCCACCAAGGCGAUGAUCCGUAGCCGGUCUGAGAGGAUGAACGGCCACAUUGGGACUGGGAAACGGCCCAGACUCCUACGGGAGGCAGCAGUGGGGAAUCUUCCGCAAGGGACGAAAGUCUGACGGAGCAACGCCGCGUGGUGGAUGACGGCCUUCGGGUUGUAAAGCUCUGUUAAUCGGGACGCGGUACCGGAAUAGAAAGCCACGGCUAACUACGUGCCAGCAGCCGCGGUAAUUC
rnacentral:rRNA from 1 species